rnacentral:rRNA from 1 species
UAUUGCGCAAUGGGCGAAAGCCUGACGCAGCGACGCCGCGUGGGGGAUGAAGGUCUUCGGAUUGUAAACCCCUUUCGGGAGGGAAGAUGGAAUGGGGUAACCCAUUCGGACGGUACCUCCAGAAGCAGCCACGGCUAACUUCGUGCCAGCAGCCGCGGUAAUACGAAGGUGGCAAGCGUUAUUCGGAUUUACUGGGCGUACAGGGAGCGUAGGCGGUUCGGUAAGCCCUCUGUGAAAUCUUCAGGCUUAACCCGGAACAGUCGGAGGGGACUGCUGGGCUAGAGGACGGGAGAGGAGCGCGGAAUUCCCGGUGUAGCGGUGAAAUGCGUAGAGAUCGGGAGGAAGGCCGGGGCGAAGGCGGCGCUCUGAACGUUCUGACGCGAGGCCGAAA